rnacentral:rRNA from 1 species
AACGAACGCUGGCGGCAGGCCUAACACAUGCAAGUCGAGCGAGACCUUCGGGUCUAGCGGCGGACGGGUGAGUAACGCGUGGGAACGUGCCCUUCUCUGCAGGAUAGCCACUGGAAACGGUGAGUAAUACUGCAUACGCCCUUCGGGGGAAAGAAUUUCGGGGAAGGAUCGGCCCGCGUUGGAUUAGGUAGUUGGUGGGGUAAUGGCCUACCAAGCCGACGAUCCAUAGCUGGUUUGAGAGGAUGAUCAGCCACACUGGGACUGAGACACGGCCCAGACUCCUACGGGAGGCAGCAGUGGGGAAUCUUAGACAAUGGGGCAACCCUGAUCUAGCCAUGCCGCGUGAGUGACGAAGGCCCUAGGGUCGUAAAGCUCUUUCGCCAGGGAUGAUAAUGACAGUACCUGGUAAAGAAACCCCGGCUAACUCCGUGCCAGCAGCCGCGGUAAU